rnacentral:rRNA from 1 species
AAUGAACGUUGGCAGCGUGGAUUAGGCAUGCAAGUCGAGCGGGUGUAGCAAUACACCAGCGGCGAAAGGGAGAGUAAUACGUGGAUACCUACCCUCGGGCCUGGGAUAGCUUCGGGAAACUGAAGGUAAUACCAGAUAACGUCCCCGGACCAAAGGUGUGAUUCCGUCCGAGGAGGGGUCCGCGGCCUAUUAGCUAGUUGGUGAGGUAACGGCCCACCAAGGCGAAGAUGGGUACGAGGCGUGAGAGCGUGUCCUCGCUCACUGGGACUGAGACACUGCCCAGACACCUACGGGUGGCUGCAGUCGAGAAUCUUCGGCAAUGGGCGCAAGCCUGACCGAGCGACGCCGCGUGCGGGAUGAAGGCCUUCGGGUUGUAAACCGCUGUCAGUAGGGAGGAAUGGUUUGGGGGUCCUCCCCCAGAUUUGACCUAUCUGCAGAGGAAGGACGGGCUAAGUUCGUGCCAGCAGCCGCCGUAA